GGAUAUUGGUCAAUGGGGGAAACCCUGAACCAGCAACGCCGCGUGAGGGAAGACGGUUUUCGGAUUGUAAACCUCUGUCCUCUGUGAAGAUAAUGACGGUAGCAGAGGAGGAAGCUCCGGCUAACUACGUGCCAGCAGCCGCGGUAAUACGUAGGGAGCAAGCGUUGUCCGGAUUUAUUGGGUGUAAAGGGGGCGCAGACGGCAGCGCAAGCCAGGAGUGAAAGCCCGGGGCCCAACCCCGGGACUGCUCUUGGAACUGCGCGGCUGGAGUGCAGGAGGGGCAGGCGGAAUUCCUGGUGUAGCGGUGAAAUGCGUAGAUAUCAGGAGGAACACCGGUGGCGAAGGCGGCCUGCUGGACUGCGACUGACGUUGAGGCCCGAAAGCGUGGGGAGCAAACAGG
rnacentral:rRNA from 1 species